ACAAAUUGUUAUGCUGGUUUGUCACGACAUUCAAUUUGAACGAAAGUAAUACUAUUAUUCUUUCCAUGUUUAGAACAAUCAUGGCAAAAGUUUUAAUACAUGACUAAACUUGUAGUUUUGUUUAAAGUGAAAAGUGUGUAACAUGUAGAUAUUCUUUCAAAGGGUAUUGACAAGGAAUUACCAGUUUCACAGGUCAGCGCUCAGCAGGCAACGAAUAACUUAUAUCAAAUGUUUCCGGUUACGAUCGGGUCGUUCAUUUACAGAAUAGCUAACAAGGAAGUAUUUCGCUUUCUCGGAAGACCUGUGAGCGGGCUAAGCACUCCAUUGCAUUAAAAUGGUGCAUACAUGUGCUUUUCUAUACAAAUGCAGUUUAUAUGUGAUCAUAUAUUUUAUGGAAAUUCAUGACGUGAUGGGAGCUCUACCAUUCCCUAUCAGUCAGAGAUCUCAUAGUGUUCGUCCGAACAGUUGUCCUUCCGGAAAAUACUAUGAUGAGGAGACUAAAGGAAGGGGCAAAUGUAAAAAAUGUUUUGUAUGCCCUAAAGGUUACACAGAGAAAUCGCCGUGUUCCAUGAAUGCAAAUAGGUCUUGUAAACCAUGUACCCUUGGGACUACUUUUAGUGACAAACGUGGAGGAAUUUGCCGGAACUGCACAGUUUGUGAAAGUGGUCAGUUUAUACGGAGACAAUGUUUGCCCUACAAGGACACAAGGUGUCGAAAUUGUACCGAAGGAAAAUAUGCGUUAGACGGAAAAGGCUUUUGGUGUAAAUACUGCUCGGUUUGCAAGGACAAUGAAGAAGAAGUAUCCCCUUGUACCCCAUUGCAGAAUCGAGAGUGCAGGAUAAAAGAAGAAAAUUCGUUCAACACGACCAACCCUUGGAAUACCCAACCAGACUACACAACGGAUUUUAACUUUUCCACACGACUCGUCCUCUUCUCUCUCCUGUUAGUUGUUUCUUGCUCUCUCCUUAUUUUCGUAUUUGCAACUGUUUUUCAAAAAAUCAUUACAAGGUUUCCAAUGAUGAAUCUUAAAGUGUGAAUUGUAUCGUUUCUAAGUUAAUAUACGUACAUGAGUAUUAAGUUAAGACUGUAUUGAUGCCAACAUACAUGAUCAGAUAUUCUUCUGGUUUGAUAGUAAUAAAACAUUUAGAGUACAAACGUGAAAAAGAGACCAUUAAAAUGUAUGAAAUCCAGCAAUAAAUAUAUGUGUUUCUAUUCUUGAGAUGGGAUCCUUACAUAUAAACUAUGUACAACACCAAUACCACGCGCACACCUUCAAUUAGAUCGACCAAAUAAUUUUUGGAACUCGAAAUACGCAAACAUAUUUUGAAAAACCCAGCAAUGGAUCUAAGCAUGACUUUCAAAAUCGUUUAAGGUUUAUUUCAGUUAUAUAAAUAUGCGAUUAUGAUUUA